rnacentral:rRNA from 1 species
AUGUCAACAUGAGCCAACCUAGGAUUACAGAAUAGAGCUUCUCCAUUAAUAGAACAAUUAACUUUUUUCCAUGACCACACCUUAUUAAUUUUGGUAAUAAUCACAAUUAUAGUAGGUUACCUAAUAUUCAUAUUAUUCUUUAAUAAUUAUACUAAUCGAUUUUUGCUCCAUGGACAAGUUAUUGAAAUAAUUUGAACAAUUCUGCCAGCAAUUAUUCUCCUAUUCAUUGCUUUCCCCUCUCUGCGAUUACUAUAUUUAUUAGAUGAAAUUAGUGAGCCGGCAGUUACACUAAAAACCAUUGGCCAUCAAUGAUACUGAAGAUAUGAAUAUUCAGAUUUCAUUGAUUUAGAAUUUGAUUCUUACAUAAUCCCGACUAAUGAUCUUUCCGUGGAUGGAUUUCGGCUACUAGACGUAGAUAACCGAGUAAUUCUACCAAUAAAUACACAAAUUCGAGUACUAGUUACUGCCGCUGAUGUAAUUCAUUCUUGAACCAUUCCAUCUCUUGGCGUAAAGGUAGAUGGAACCCCCGGACGAUUAAACCAGACUAACUUUAUAAUCAGACGACCUGGAUUAUUUUUCGGUCAAUGCUCAGAAAUUUGCGGAGCAAACCACAGUUUUAUACCAAUUGUAAUUGAAAGUGUUUAUACAAGCUAUUUUAUUAAAUGAAUCUCU